rnacentral:rRNA from 1 species
ACUCAAAGGAAUAGACGGGACCCCGCACAAGCGGUGGAUCAUGUUGUUUAAUUCGACGAUACGCGAAAAACCUUACCAGGCCUUGACAUCCCGUGCAAUGCUUAAGAAAUUAAGUGGAGGUCAUCACGGUGACAGGUGGUGCAUGGUUGUCGUCAGCUCGUGUCGUGAGAUGUUCGGUUAAGUCCGCUAACGAGCGCAACCCUUAUCCUUAGUUGCUAAAUCUGCAAAGAAUAGGACUUUAAGGAGACUGCCCGAAAGGGAGGAAGGUGGGGAUGACGUCAAAUCAUCAUGCCCCUUACGGCCUGGGCUACAAACGUGAUACAAUGGCUGGUCAACAAAGAGACGCCAACUCGCGAGAGGGAGCCAAUCUCAUAAAAACAGUCUCAGUUCGGAUUGAAGUCUGCAACUCGACUUCAUGAAGCCGGAAUCGCUAGUAAUCGUAAAUCAGAAUGUUACGGUGAAUACGUUCUCGGGGUUUGUACACACCGCCCGU